GAUGAAGAACGCAGCGAAAUGCGAUACUUGGUGUGAAUUGCAGAAUCCCGUGAACCAUCGAGUCUUUGAACGCAAGUUGCGCCCGAAGCCACUAGGCCGAGGGCACGCCUGCCUGGGCGUCACACGCCGUUGCCCCCCCAUCUACUCCUUCGGGAUUGCGGGGGGGCGGAUGAUGGCCUCCCGUGCGCCUAGCCGCGCGGUUGGCAUAAGUACCAAGUCCUCGGCGACGCACGCCACGACAAUCGGUGGUUGCGAAACCUCGGUUGCCCGUCGUGUGCGUUCGUCGCGCAUCGAGGGCUCGAAAAAAUGCUCGGCUCCGGCUGGGCUUUCAACGCGACCCCAGGUCAGGCGGGGUUACCCGCUGAAUUUAAGCAUAUCAAUAAGCGGAGGA
rnacentral:misc_RNA from 1 species